UACGGGGGGGCAAGCGUUGUUCGGAUUCAUUGGGCGUAAAGGGUGCGUAGGCGGCGCGGUAAGUCGGAUGUGAAAUCUUGGAGCUUAACUCCGAAACUGCAUUCGAUACUGCCGUGCUUGAGGACUGGAGAGGAGACUGGAAUUUACGGUGUAGCGGUGAAAUGCGUAGAUAUCGUAAGGAAGACCAGUGGCGAAGGCGGGUCUCUGGACAGUUCCUGACGCUGAGGCACGAAGGUCAGGGGAGCAAACGGG
rnacentral:rRNA from 1 species